rnacentral:lncRNA from 1 species
AUGGCUAGUGAUGGGUGGAGUCCAAGAAGAUUCAUGGCCAAAAGACUGCAGGAUCCUGCAUGUUGCUACCCACAUUCAGCAGUCUGCUUCACAAAGCAGAAUAAGCACCUUCAAAGGACUGUAUUGAGAAAGCUGAAGAGAGAGAGAUACCAAAUGCAGACUGUAGAGCUGGUGACAUACUGUUCUUCCUUUGUGGCUGAGGAUAUUUGGUCCACCUUUGCAGGGGUGACUUUAGACAGCAAUGGAGCCUGGUGCAGAUAAGUAAACAUGGGACCCAGGGAAAAGGGAUUUAAAUGUCUCUUGGGAUGUGCUUCACCCUAUGAAAAGUUGAGCAGAGCAUAUUCCACAUAUGAGGUGAGGAAAUAAACAUGGUACUGAGCUGCUACUGUGAGUCUGC